GUUCCCCGGAACGAAUGGCCAGCAUCCAUUAUUUGCAGGCCCUUGCCGCCUUUGCAGCCUCCAAGUGACGCAAGGAGGGUAUUGAAUCUGGGAAUCCGGAGGCUGUGCGAUUGCUUGAGAUGUUCCGCCGAUCUUGAGAAGUACUGAAAGUGGUAGCCGCACUCCAAGUGUUUGCUGUCCUGUCCGCUGACGCUCCCUGUCUGUCCGCCUGUCUGCACUAAGGCUUAAUCCCAUCCUCUAUUCCACAGACUUUGCAUUAAGAUUAUGUAAAUUUCGCCGCGAUGGGGAGCGAAAGAACAUUCGGAAAGGCGCGUGUUUCUGGCAGUUUUCUGGCGUGUCUGAGCUGGAGACAAAUUGAAAAAGGCCCUCGAGCACAAGAUGCGGCUUUAAGUGGGCGAAAUGGCUUUAAAUUGCCGGCAGUGGUCCGUGUAAAUCAUAAAAUCAUUUUUCCAUUUUAAUUAAAAUUGCCAAGGAAAAGUGCAAACCCUUUUGGGUCCCCCGCAAAAGUUUUCGUUUUGGCCCUGGCAUCACUCAACCGCCCAGUUGCUUUCAAGUUCCUUGCGUUUAAUUUGCUGCCAUUUUCACUUUUACUCCAGCCCAUUACAUUUAUCAAGCUGAGUGGGACACUACCUCUCGGUUGGCCUUUGUCAACACGGAGCUGACCCACGACACUCCUCCGGCUCGUGUGUGCCGAAAAGUUUGUUCACGGUUUUUCAGGACCGCCUUACCCACCCACAAGCUGGCUUGCUCCUCCGCCUGGAAGAGCUUCAGUAGAAUACGGGCACUAUGUCCUGUUUCGAACAUGUCCCGAAAUUGUUGCCACAUUGGAGCAAUUAUGUUUGAGGGGAGCUGGUCGGCCAGAGGCAAACGGGGCUAAGCUCCUUCGGAGGGGAAUGAGGUAGCCAUGAGGGUACUUAUUCGAAGCCCAGGAUUAGAGCGGACAGGGAACUUUUAGUCCGAUGUUGGGACACAACUAAGCUGCCAGAAGAGCUUGCACCACCGGCAGCCAAGCCACUUACUUGCAACUGACAGGGAGUGACAAGCCAGUCAAAACUACCUCGCCACAUGUGGCCGGGGGCGAGGAGAAGUUUGCCGAAUCGCUACUUAACACUCCUUUUCUCCAGUCCCAAAAAAAGUUUGAGAAGAAAAAAGCUAAAAACCGCAGACAGAAUCCUCUGGACUCGAGGACUGGGAACACAAAAAUUCGGCGUCUGCUGCUGCAGGCAGCUCAAACAAGGGAAAUCACCCAACCCAAACGUAGAACCAGCUCCAGAAUGCCACUCAUAUCGUGGCUCAGCUGUUCGUGGAUGUGUGAGUUUUGUAUUUUACCCUUGAACGGGGUAUUUUAAUUUUAAUA